GGGUUCGAUGGUGGCAGGGGCGGGGGCGGGAUCAAGUGGUGGAAGUGGGGGACUAGGUGGGUGGGGAGGAGAGAAUAAAUUUGGAAUGUCACUUAUGCAACUUGUUUUUCAUACUUCCAUUAGGGAAGUCAUUUUCAAGGAAUUUAUUUCCUAGAGAAAAUGUUUUCCAAAUAUUUUGACCAAUCGAACAGGAAAAUUGGAAAACAUUUUCCUACAUACCAAACACAACAAAUUAUCUCUAAUCAUCAAAACACCUUCCUGCUCUAAAAUUGCUUCAUUAGCCUCUCCAUUCAAUACUUUGUCUCAACUAAUGCACAACUCCCAUCUUCAAAUUCUCAAGCCUUAUUCCACCGUACUGAAAAUGACUGAGUUUCAACACACGCAGGAGAUCUACCAGACUCUGAGAUAACAAGUCUCACAGGGCUAUUAGCCCCAAGUUUGAAAUCCAUAACAAUAUUUGCUCCUCUAUAUGUAAUCACAGCCAAACCACCAAGCUGACGGACUCACAACUCAUUCCAUCAGCUGCCAUGCUUCCAAUGUGCCACUCUGAUAGAACAACCUGCCCUAUAGUAGAAAAAACAAACUCUCUCAGUUUUCCUAGCAGAGGCACAAGUGGUAAUAGAAGACAAGAAGGAAACAACGGAACAAAAACUAAGCAAGAGAAAAACAAAGGAUCAGAUUAUACCAUUAAACAUAAAUGCCACAUGAUACUGCACUCUAGUAUAAACCCAUCCAGUUCUCCAACAUGAAUCAGCAGAUGCAUUGACAAGUUUUGUCAAACUAAAGCUAAGAUCACAAUAAAGCUGCAACAGGAGAACUAUUAGGUGCUAUAUUUAUUUGGCUAAAACAUUAACAGCAUGACCUGGAAAAAGAUCCUCUUCUCCUUAUUAGUAGUAGGAUAAAUCGCAUAGUUUUGUUAUUCUUCUAUGUGUUUCUACUAUCUGUUGCUUCAUUUUUCUUUGUAUCUUGAUAUUUUGUUGUCAUUUUUUUCUUUCUCACAACCCUUUUCUCUGAAUAACUUCCCUUUUGAGUCAAGAGUCUAUCGUAAACAACCUCUCUACCCCACAAAAGUAAGGGUAAGGUCUGCAUACAUCUAACUCUUCCUAGACCCCACUUAUGAGAUUACACUGGGAGAGUUGUUGUUGUUUGUUGCUUUAGAAGUUAAUCAAGGCCAAUUUUGUUAAAAGGGUUAUACAUGUGAUUGCCUGAACCAUUGCUCCUCGACAUCUUUUCUUGUUUCUUCUAGACAUUGCUGUCCUCAGUGCUAAGUCGUUAUGCAACUGUUUUUUCGAUUGAGUGAAAUAUGGAAAAGCCUAAAAUUUUUAGUUGAAUAUUUCCAUUUUGUUCUUUUCACAAUCCGAGUUAGUUUGUUGUUUUGAGUUUGCCUUUUGGUUUUUAUUUUGGGGUUUUGAACUUAUACUUUGUUGACAGUUGAAUUUCCUUACUGAAUUGUUACAGAGAACUGAAAAUUUCAAAGGGAAAAUAUAUCAGUUGUAAAAUUGUUAUAAUUAGAAUUUUUCCAGUAGUUAAUAACAAUCUUUGUUUGAAGAGAAGCAUAUCCUUAUUUGGUUAAGUCUACAAUGUUAAGUGUAGUAUAAAGAGAAUGUUUGAACAUAUCAAAAACCUAUCAAAGUUAAAUGAAUUAAAUAGUUGGUUUUAGUAGAAUUGGUAGCUGUUUUGAUUUUCUGAAAAUGUUCUUUGAGCAUAGGAUGAUAAUUUUGCAAAGACUACAAAUUUUAUUCAUAAGAAGUAUGGAAAUCUAAAGAAACGACAUAAUAGCUCUAUGGCACCAAUCUUAAUUCUAGUACAAUAUGCUAAUCACCCUCUCCGCUUUCUGGCACUGCUUUGAUGUCAUCAUCUUCUUCCUCCUUUCCCCCCCUUCAUGUGGAUUUCUCCCCCAACCAUAAUCAUCACAAUUAAUUCCAAGGUUCUCCGCAAGCUCUCUAAUUCCUUGAUUAUCAUUGAGAAAGUUUCUUGCUUUAUUCCGACAACAAUAUGGAUGUUGGAUAAUGAUCUAAUGUUUAUGGCAAAGGUGUCUCUGUCUUUCUGUUUAGUGUGUCUAAAGGAGAACCGUUGUCUGUUAAAGAAAUAAAGAGAUUAUUUCUACCACUAGCAAAAUAUUAGUGGUAGCAACAAUUUACUGUUUCCUUGUGCUCAUGUGAUGUUGGUUGUUUCAAUGUUCUUUUUGGGGUACCGUCAUUCUUUAGAGUGUCAUCUUUGAGGCUCUCCUUUAAAAGGUUUCAAAAAAAAAAUCGCUAGUGCCUACAGAUUUAGUGACUAAGAAGUGAACUUUUUCCUAAGAUUAAAAGAGGUGAAUAAUUCAGAGUCGUACCUCACUUUCAAGCAGCAGCAUAUGUAGCGCUAACAUAAUGUUGUAGAUACAAAGAAGAAUGUUCACUUGUGAAGAAAAAGAGAUUGUCACACUUCUGCCAACCUCAAACUUUGAUAUUCUUAAUCUUUUUAAGUCAUGGUACUAGCAUUAUGAACUCUUACGAAGCUGUACUUCUUGGUUUUCGUUUUUUUUUGUCUCACUAAAAGAGGAAAUAUCCCCUUUGCCCUGUCUCUUGGUGGAUCCUUUAUUUUGUUUUAGGAAAUGUCCUGAUUGAAAAUCCAAUGGACCAAUGGUACCCGUGUUCUUUAACAGUUUUGAUCCAUUGGAUUUAAUAGAUCAGGUGGUAUACAUACAACAGUCUUUGAUUCCUCAAGUUUAGAUGGAUAAGUUCUCUUAUGUGGACAAAUUUCAGUCUCCUAGGUUCCUAGUUCCUACACUUGUGAUUGGUGUAUUUCAGUGUUAAUGCAAACUACAUAUCACUUCAAGGGGAAUCUUCUUUUUGCUAGUGUUGAUGGUACUUGUUAGAAUGGAUGCGUCCACUGUCACUCAAGGACCAGGUCCCUGAACAGAAUAACAAUGUAAGGACAACUAAUGCACUAAAGUGCACACAAGAUUUUUACGUGGAAACCUCCUUGCUCAAGGGAGAAAAACCACGACCUGUCCCACAGGGUUUAGCAACCAACUUCACUAAAGAUGCAAGAGCAAAGUAGUCUAUUACAACCUAUUGUAACUAGACACUAACCCUCUCCACCUCUCAGCUUGCAAUACCUCUAUUACAAGACUUCGAGCCUAAGCAAUAUAACUAUAUUGCCCACUACCCCAACUAACUCUAGUUGACGUAGACUUUGAACACUCCGAUCAAGGCUAAUGACUCGAAAACUAAGCAAUAAGACUAUUGCCCACUACACAACCACCCCUAGGUUAAUGUAGACUUCAACUCACUGAUUCAAGGUCAACACUUAACCAAGAACCCAACACACUUACAAAAACAAACUGAUCAAUGUUCCUUUAUAGUGUAGGAACUGAUCUUGCAAUAUUUAGCACAUAAGAUACAACAUUACAACAAAACAACAAAGAAGGACUUUUCUUGAAUGACUCUAUCAGGUCCCUUGCUGCCUUGGUGAAGUUGUUCUUUCUUUAAGUGGCUUUUGCAUUGUGUAUGAACUUGAUUUGCAAAAAGCUUGGUGUUUUUUGUCACAAUGUUCUCUUCAUAAGAGAGACAAAAAACCUUGGAGCCAUGCCAUUGGUCGAGGUCUCUGCUGUUGCAGCGCCUCUGCUGCAGUGCUACCAACCACAGCAGCUUUACAGUUGGUCUCCAUUUGAUCUGUGAUGCACAUCAUUCAUGGGACCAGGUCCGCUGAUCAGGUCCCAUGGUUUGUCGAUACACAAAACGUGAAUGUGCACCUCUGCUGCAGUGUCCACCAACCUCUGCAGUUUUUAUAGCUUUACAACUGUACUCCACUUUCUUUCCCUUGACAGGCGUUAAUCAUGGGACCAGGUCCCUCUACCAGGUCCCAUAGUUUGUUAAAUCAUCAAAACACAAAUAUAACAUUUUCCCGCUUUUUGAUGAUGACAAACAAUGCGGACUUGUGUUCAUGUUUCUGCUAACCAGGUACCAAGUCCCAUAGUUUGUUAAAUCAUCAAAACACAAAUAUAACAGUACUGUGUUACAUCUUUUAGCUUCUCUGAUUCAGUCCUAGAUUUGUCCCGGCCAUUGUAGCAUGCGCAUUGCCCUAAAUUCCUACCUUACAUUUGAAAAGAGUUAGUUUAGACACAAACUUUUGUUGAAGUCUAAUGGCCUGUAUUUACUACACUUUAUGUCAUUUGGGGUGACUAAAGGAAUUCCUUCUGGCCAUGAUUACUGUCCACUUCUCUCCAUGUUGUCUUGAAAGAGCGAUACAAGCAUCGAAGGGAAGCCAAGAACGCCAGCCAAUUAUGGCUUCAAUCUUUUCAGUCAAGAAUCAUACCAAAUAUCAAGUAGUCUAAUUUUUAGAUAAUCCAAGAAUUGUAUGAAUGAUUUUCCUGCAAUAACUUCAUAUGUCAAUUACUUCUGCAUGGUGAUAAACCACAUGUUUGACUUCUACUUUCUACUUGCUUUGAUAGAUAUACACCUAUGUUAAAGAUGUAAAUAACAAUUUUCCACUAAUUAUAGUUAAUGUUGAUCUAUCACGUUUCAGUGUUAUCAUAAAGACUGGAUUUUCAGCUAUAAUCUCACUUAUUUCUUCACUGCAGGGCCAGAUGAGGUGAUGAAAUUUGAAGGUCUAAGGGAACUUGCUAAUGAGGCUGCUGUGAAUGUAUUACUAUAUAGCAUAUUUGGGUCAAUUCAUUUACUGUAUAAAUUUCACAUCUUCAAUGUCUCUACUUUCUAUAUAGCUGACUUAUUUCUCCUGUU